rnacentral:rRNA from 1 species
AAAGCCGGAUUAAUACCGCAUACGAUCUAAGGAUGAAAGUGGGGGACCGCAAGGCCUCACGCUCCUGGAGCGGCCGAUAUCUGAUAAGCUAGUUGGUGGGGUAAAAGCCUACCAAGGCGACGAUCAGUAGCUGGUCUGAGAGGACGACCAGCCACACUGGGACUGAAACACGGCCCAGACUCCUACGGGAGGCAGCAGUGGGGAAUUUUGGACAAUGGGGGAAACCCUGAUCCAGCAAUGCCGCGUGAGUGAAGAAGGCCUUCGGGUUGUAAAGCUCUUUUGUCCGGGAAGAAACGGUUCUGGAUAAUACCCGGAACUAAUGACGGUACCUGAAGAAUAAGCACCGGCUAACUACGUGCCAGCAGCCGCGGUAAUACGUAGGGUGCAAGCGUUAAUCGGAAUUACUGGGCGUAAAGCGUGCGCAGGCGGUUGUGCAAGACAGAUGUGAAAUCCCCGGGCUUAACCUGGGAACUGCAUUUGUGACUGCACGGCUAGAGUGUGUCAGAGGGGGGUAGAAUUCCACGUGUAGCAGUGAAAUGCGUAGAUAUGUGGAGGAAUACCGAUGGCGAAGGCAGCCCCCUGGGAUAACACUGACGCUCAUGC